AACGAACGCUGGCGGCAUGCCUAACACAUGCAAGUCGAACGAGACCUUCGGGUCUAGUGGCGCACGGGUGCGUAACGCGUGGGAACCUGCCCUUAGGUUCGGAAUAACUCCCCGAAAGGGGUGCUAAUACCGGAUAAUGUCUUCGGACCAAAGAUUUAUCGCCUUUGGAUGGGCCCGCGUUGGAUUAGCUAGUUGGUAGGGUAAAAGCCUACCAAGGCGACGAUCCAUAGCUGGUCUGAGAGGAUGAUCAGCCACACUGGGACUGAGACACGGCCCAGACUCCUACGGGAGGCAGCAGUGGGGAAUAUUGGACAAUGGGCGAAGGCCUGAUCCAGCAAUGCCGCGUGAGUGAUGAAGGCCUUAGGGUUGUAAAGCUCUUUUACCCGGGAUGAUAAUGACAGUACCGGGAGAAUAAGCUCCGGCCAACUCCGUG
rnacentral:rRNA from 1 species